rnacentral:tRNA from 1 species
AUUACUUUGGCAGAUUAUGCAUUAGACUUAGGAUCUAAUUAUAUAGAUUGAUUCUAUAAGUAGUA